rnacentral:misc_RNA from 1 species
CGAACAACUAUGGUUCGGCGGUUGUCCAGAUCACCCGUCGUCCCCGUAUCGAUCUGAUCCCCGUCAGUCAGGUCGCUCGCGUCAACAGCGACGAUACGAACUACGAGCUUCUUUUCCCGAUGUCGACGACCUAUGGCAACCCCAACAGGGUCUUCCGCAACCUUCUGCUUGUCAACGGUGUCGCCGGAGCAUUCCUGCGUGACGUGACGGUGGAGACCGACCAGCCCUGGCUGCGCGUAAGCCUCGAGGAUCCGGCCAUCGGUGUCGGACAGGGUGGCGAGAGCGGCGAGCGCGGAGUCUAUAUCCGCCAGGUCGGCCUGCAGCAGAACAUCAACGUGAUCGCCAACCCGGCAUUCCUGCCGAACGACGGCACGUAUGCGACC